rnacentral:tRNA from 1 species
GUUCAUGUAGUUUAUUAAAACAUUACAUUUUCACUGUAAAAAUAGGCUCUGCCUCAUAAAUA